GACGAACGCUGGCGGCGUGCUUAACACAUGCAAGUCGAGCGAGGGGCUUCGGCUCCUAGCGGCGAACGGGUGAGUAACACGUGGGCAACCUGCCCCGAGCUCUGGAAUAACCUCGGGAAACCGGGGCUAAUGCCGGAUAUGACAUCACUGGGCAUCUGGUGGUGUGGAAAGAUUUAUCGGCUCGGGAUGGGCCCGCGGCCUAUCAGCUUGUUGGUGGGGUGAUGGCCUACCAAGGCGACGACGGGUAGCCGGCCUGAGAGGGCGACCGGCCACACUGGGACUGAGACACGGCCCAGACUCCUACGGGAGGCAGCAGUGGGGAAUAUUGCGCAAUGGGCGAAAGCCUGACGCAGCGACGCCGCGUGAGGGAUGACGGCC
rnacentral:rRNA from 1 species